rnacentral:misc_RNA from 1 species
GAUGAAGAACGUAGCGAAAUGCGAUAAGUAAUGUGAAUUGCAGAAUUCAGUGAAUCAUCGAAUCUUUGAACGCACAUUGCGCCCCCCAGUAUUCUGGCGGGCAUGCCUGUUCGAGCGUCAUUUCAACCAUCAAGCCCUGCUUGUGUUGGGGUCCUGCGGCUGCCCGCAGGCCCUGAAAACCAGUGGCGGGCUCGCUAGUCACACCGAGCGCAGUAGCACAUCUCGCUCAGGGCGUGCGGCGGGCUCCAGCCGUUAAAGCACCCACCUUUCGCAAGGUUGACCUCGGAUCAGGUAGGAAUACCCGCUGAACUUAAGCAUAUCAAUAACGGAGGA